rnacentral:rRNA from 1 species
UGGAUCAUGUUGUUUAAUUCGAUGAUACGCGAAGAACCUUACCAGGUCUUGACAUCCCCCGCGAUGCUUUAGAGAUAAAGCGGAGGUAUUCGGGGAGACAGGUGGUGCAUGGUUGUCGUCAGCUCGUGUCGUGAGAUGUUGGGUUAAGUCCCGCAACGAGCGCAACCCCUAUUGCUAGUUACCAUCAUUAAGUUGGGGACCCUAGCGAGACUGCCAGUGAUAAACUGGAGGAAGGUGGGGAUGACGUCAAAUCAUCAUGCCCCUUAUGACCUGGGCUACAAACGUGAUACAAUGGCUGGAACAAAGGGAUGCGAAGCAGUGAUGUGGAGCGAAACCCAUAAAAACAGUCUCAGUUCGGAUUGAAGUCUGCAACUCGACUUCAUGAAGUCGGAAUCGCUAGUAAUCGCGGAUCAGAACGCCGCGGUGAAUACGUUCUCGGGGUUU